rnacentral:tRNA from 1 species
GGUUCCAUAGUCUACCGGUUAGCACGUCUGCUUUACACACAGAAGGUUCUGGGUUUGCACCCCAGUGGAGCCA